rnacentral:rRNA from 1 species
CAGCAGCCGCGGUAAUACGAAGGGUGCAAGCGUUACUCGGAAUUACUGGGCGUAAAGCGUGCGUAGGUGGUUCGUUAAGUCUGACGUGAAAGCCCUGGGCUCAACCUGGGAAUUGCAUUGGAUACUGGCGAGCUAGAGUGCGGUAGAGGGUAGUGGAAUUCCCGGUGUAGCAGUGAAAUGCGUAGAGAUCGGGAGGAACAUCUGUGGCGAAGGCGACUGCCUGGACCAGCACUGACACUGAGGCACGAAAGCGUGGGGAGCAAACAGGAUUAGAUACCCCGGUAGUCCCUGUCUCUUAUAC